rnacentral:rRNA from 1 species
GACGAACGCUGGCGGCGUGCUUAACACAUGCAAGUCGAACGGAAAGGCCCUGCUUUUGUGGGGUGCUCGAGUGGCGAACGGGUGAGUAACACGUGAGUAACCUGCCCUUGACUUUGGGAUAACUUCAGGAAACUGGGGCUAAUACCGGAUAGGAGCCCCUGCUGCAUGGUGGGGGUUGGAAAGUUUCGGCGGUUGGGGAUGGACUCGCGGCUUAUCAGCUUGUUGGUGGAGUAGUGGCUUACCAAGGCUUUGACGGGUAGCCGGCCUGAGAGGGUGACCGGCCACAUUGGGACUGAGAUACGGCCCAGACUCCUACGGGAGGCAGCAGUGGGGAAUAUUGCACAAUGGGCGGAAGCCUGAUGCAGCAACGCCGCGUGCGGGAUGACGGCCUUCGGGUUGUAAACCGCUUUCGCCUGUGACGAAGCGUGAGUGACGGUAAUGGGUAAAGAAGCACCGGCUAACUACGUG